rnacentral:rRNA from 1 species
GGGGAAUUUUCCGCAAUGGGCGAAAGCCUGACGGAGCAAUACCGCGUGAGGGAUGACGGCCUAUGGGUUGUAAACCUCUUUUUUCAGGGAGGAACAAAAUGACGUGUACCUGAAGAAUAAGCAUCGGCUAACUCCGUGCCAGCAGCCGCGGUAAGACGGAGGAUGCAAGUGUUAUCCGGAAUCACUGGGCGUAAAGCGUCUGUAGGUGGUUUAAUAAGUCAACUGUUAAAUCUUGAGGCUCAACUUCAAAAUCGCAGUCGAAACUAUUAGACUAGAGUAUAGUAGGGGUAAAGGGAAUUUCCAGUGGAGCGGUGAAAUGCGUAGAGAUUGGGAAGAACACCGAUGGCGAAAGCACUUUACUGGGCUAUUACUAACACUCAGAGACGAAAGCUAGGGUAGCAAAUGGGAUUAGAUGCCCCAGUAGUCCUAGCCGUAAACUAUGGAUACUAGAUGUUGAACAGAUCGACCUGUGCAGUAUUAAAGCUAACGCGUUAAGUAUCCCGCCUGGGAAGUAUGCUCGCAAGAGUG